AACGAACGCUGGCGGCAUGCCUAACACAUGCAAGUCGAACGAGACCUUCGGGUCUAGUGGCGCACGGGUGCGUAACGCGUGGGAACCUGCCCUUAGGUUCGGAAUAACUCCCCGAAAGGGGUGCUAAUACCGGAUAAUGUCUUCGGACCAAAGAUUUAUCGCCUUUGGAUGGGCCCGCGUUGGAUUAGCUAGUUGGUAGGGUAAAAGCCUACCAAGGCGACGAUCCAUAGCUGGUCUGAGAGGAUGAUCAGCCACACUGGGACUGAGACACGGCCCAGACUCCUACGGGAGGGAGCAGUGGGGAAUAUUGGACGAGGGGCGAAAGCCUGAUCCAGCAAUGCCGCGUGAGUGAUGAAGGCCUUAGGGUUGUAAAGCUCUUUUACCCGGGAUGAUAAUGACAGUACCGGGAGAAUAAGCUCCGGCUAACUCCGUG
rnacentral:rRNA from 1 species